CACGGUCUUAUAUGGGCAGGAGGAGGGUGCUCCUCCCUUUUCAGCCAGGACCCAUAAGCUAGCAGGGUGCAGCGAGUCGGCUCCGAGGCUAGCUGCUAACACGGUUCCACACGGCACUCCCUUGCGUCGGGGGAGAGUCCCAGCGCAGAUAUCACCAUCCUCCACAAGAUCAAGUAUGCCACAAACAGAACAGAGGACUUCUAGAUGCAGCAAGGAUCUCACUUGGAGAGAAGGAGCUCUUCAUAUGGAGCAAGGACCAUGGGCAGACCAGAGAUAGUGGGAAAAGUUUUACAUCAGCCAGGAAAUUUUGUCUUUUCAGCAAUUUCACAUAAACAUGAAGGAAAAAAAAAUCCCCUUUUGCCUGCUGCAGUUUUAUUAGUGAUUUUUGUACCCAGCAACAACUGAUUCUUGCUUUCACAAGGAAGUACAAACUUUUACUAAAAAUAUGCACAAAGUUUCCUAUUGCUGUAACAUUUCUAAGGAAAUUCCACACACAUAUCAGAAAUGGAUGUUUCACAGGACAAAAGAACAGACACGUCCCAUUUGAAUCCCUCAGGUGGAGAUUGAUGAGACAGCAUGUCCCACAGAGCAAAGGAGGACUCAGUUAUCCACUUACAUUAUUCUCUGAUAUCCCCAGGAGCAAAAGGUAGAGAGUGACUUGCAGACCAGAACCACAUUUAAAAGCCUGUCCAGCAUAACCCUCUGGAACCUUUCUGAGACAAAGCAGCAAACCCACCACAGAGCCACUCUUCUCAAGAAGCUACAGGGUGCCCAGCUUGAUAUCCUGAGGUCUGAUCUGCAGAUGUGCUGAGCAUUCAGAGCUACAACAGUAGUGGGAGCUGUGCUUUGAACAUAUAAAGGACUUAGGAAAACGGCUGAUAAGUCUGAGCACCAACAAAAAUCUACACUUUGCAGACUGUAUGUUACAAAAUUCAUCAUGAACUUUUUUUCUGGUUUAUUUCCACUGCCCUCAAUUGUGAUUAUUAAUUUAUCAAGUGAAAAGCAAAGGUAUCAAACCAUGAAGUGAGUUGUGUAAUUUUGUAAAUUUUGUCACGCCUGGGUGUGAACACCGAGCAUCAGUUAGCUUGAGUUUAGCUUGUGCCACUGCUACGUUCAUAGCAAACUACAAGUGUUACCUUUGGAUUGCGCUAGAAAAGAGUGCAUUAAAAACAGACACAGAAAUGAGGCUCUUAAAGACUUCAUGACACUUGUCAGAAGAAUAGCCUUGGUAUCUUGGGAUAUGAUUGUCAGAGGGGCUGAGCACCCACAGCUCUUCUUUACUUCAGCUGGAAAUCCGGGUGGUCAGCACUUACAAAAAAAAGCAGGCCUCUGGUCAAAUUGUGAGCUGGGAAACUAUAUUCUUCCCAUAAACUUCCCCCUUAGUUUCCCUUCAAUUUAAUGUAUUUUUCACUCCUGUGUUUAACUCUUGUACUGUUACUGUGCACUACUAAAUAGGUGGGGGGGGGGGGGGUUUCACUUCAGAGGUAAUUGCAUCUGAAUGGUUUAGUGCAGUGUUGGAUCUUUGUGUGGAAGACAUGCCAUUUAAUACUGUUUUAAUUAUGGAGAUAUCUUUCUGGUUCCAUAGUUAAGUUACUUUGAGAUUUACACUUAAAGCAGAGAUUAAACCUCUUAGUUAUGUAUGAAUAAUUUAGUGUAUCCUCCCCAAACAUUAAAUAACGAGUUUUUCAAAUUUUUAAAUCUAUUAGUUUGAGCAAUAAUUAUUUUUAAAUGGUUCAUUUAAAAACUGUAAUUUUUUCACACUUCUAUCGCUAACAAAUGGCUUGUUACUAGGGCUGUCAAGCAAUUUAAAAAAUUAAUUGCGAUUAAUCACGCAAUUAAAAAAAUUAAUCGCAAUUAAUUGCGCUGUUAUAUAAUAGAAUACCAUUUAUUUAAAUAUUUUUGGAUAUUUUCUACAUUUUCAAAUAUAUUGAUUUCAAUUACAACACAAUACAAAGUAUACAGUGCUCACUUUAUUUUUUACAAGUAUUUGCACUGUAAAAAACAAAAGAAAUAUUUUUCAAUUCACCUAAUACAAGUACUGUAGUGCAAUCUCUUUAUCACGAAAGUGCAAUUUACAAAUGUAGAAUUAUGUACAAAAUAACUGCAUUCAAAAAUAAAACAAUGUAAAACUUUCGACCCUACAUGUCCACUCAGUCCUAUUUCUUGUUCAGCCAAUUGCUCAGACAAACAAGUUUGUUUACAUUUAUGGGAGAUAAUGCUGCCCGCUUCUUGUUCACAAUGUCACCUGAAAGUGAGAACAGGCAUUUUGCAUGGCACUAUUGCAGCCGGCAUCGCAAGAUAUUUACAUGCCAGAUGCGCUAAAGAUUCACAUGUCCCUUCAUGCUUCAUUCAACAUUUCAGAGGACAUGUGUCCAUGCUGAUGACAGGUUCUGCUCGAUAACAACCAAAAGCAGUGUGGACCGACACAUGUUCAUUUUUAUAAUCUGAGUCAGAUGCCACCAGCAGAAGGUUGAUUUUCUUUUUUGGUGGUUCGGGUUCUGUAGUUUCCACAUUGGAGUGUAGAUCUUUUAAGACUUCUGAAAGCAUGCUCCACACCUCAUCCCUCUCAGAUUUUGGAAGGCACUGCAGAUUCUUAAAUCUUGGGUCGAGUGCUGUAGCUAGCUUUAGAAAUCUCACAUUGGUACCUUCUUUGCAUUUUGUCAAAUCUGCAGCGAAAGUGUUCUUAAAAUGAACAUGUGCUGAGUCAUCAUCUGAGACUGUUGUAACAUGAAAUAUAUGGCAGAAUAUGGGUAAAACAGAGCCGAAGACAUACAGUUCUCCCCCAAGGAGUUCAGUCACAAAUUUAAUUUAUGCAUUUUUUUUUUAACGAGUGUCAUCAGCAUGAAAGCAUGUCCUCUGGAAUGGUGGCCGAAGCAUGAAGGGGCAUACGAAUGUUUAGCAUAUCUGGCACGUAAAUACCUUGCAAUACUGGCUACAAAAGUCCCAUGUGAAUGCCUUUCUCACUUUCUGGGGACGUUGUUAAUAAGAAGUGGGCAGCAUUAUCUCCCGUAAGUGUAAACAAACUUGUUUGUCUUUGCGAUUGGCUGAACAAGAAGUAGGACUGAGUGGACUUGCAGGCUCUAAAGUUUUGCCUUGUUUUGUUUGUGAGUGCAGCUACAUAACAAAAAAAUAAAUAAAUCUACAUUUGUAAGUUGCAUUUUCACGAUAAAGAAAUUGCACUACAGUACUUGUAUGAAGUGAACUGAAAAAUACUAUUUCUUUUAUCAUUUUUACAGUGCAAAUAUUUGUAAUAAAAAAUAAUAAAGUGAGAAUUGUACACUUUGUAUUCUGUGUUGUAACGGAAACCAAUAUAUUUGAAAAUAGAGAAAAACAUCCAAAAAUAUUUAAUACAUUUCAAUUGUUAUUCUACUGUUUAACAGUGCAAUUAAUCCCGAUUAAUUUUUUGAGUUAAUCACAUGAUCUAACUGCGAUUUAACUAAACUUUCCAUAUAGUUAAAACUCAUUAAGUGGUGAAUAUGCUGCAGAUAAAGAAAUGUUUGUAAUUAAGCGACAUUUUUAACUGUUACAUCUAAUUAUUAUAAUUAUAGUCAGGGCAAUGUCAAUAGCUGAGGUCAUUUUCCUGUUGUGUCUCAGGGCACGUCUUCACUGGCAACGUUAAAGUGCUGCCAUGGCAGGACUUUAACAUGGCUUGUGUAGUCGCAGCCCAGCACUGGGAGAGAGCUCUCCCAGCGCUCUAAAAAAACCCACCUCCAUGAAGGCGUAGCUACUAAUGCACUGUCUAUACUGGUACAUUACAGCGCUGAAACUUGCAGCACUCGGGGGGGUAUUCUUUCAUGCCCCUGAGCGAGCAAGUUGCAGCGCUGUAAAGCACCGAUGUAGACAAGCCCUUAGGUCCAGAUAUUCAGCGAGUGUUAGGUACCUAAAUACCUUUGAGGAUGUGGGCCUACGUGACAUCAGAGGUAACUCGAGAGAAAUGAUGGUGAUUGAGUUAUUUAGCAUGUUGUAAAUUCUAUUGAUUGAAAUGUGUCAGUGAAGGGAAGGAGAAAUGUAUCAAGAGAUCUCAGUGGUAGAUUAUUUGAUCACCUGUGCACAACAAAAAGUCACCAAGCUUCAUCUUCCUCCUGCUCUCCAUAGGCUCCACUUAGAAGCAGUUGAUGCUGCUGUACUUCUCCCCUGGCAUUUUUCAAUUCCCUGUAGGGAAUAUGUGUCACUAUAACCUUCAGCCUCCUACAACAGGAGGUCAGAUAGCAGUAGAAUCAUCUCAAACUCCUGGAGACAGUCAGCAAAAAGUGUAAACACCCUUCCCCCCUACAGCAAGGGUUUGGUGGCAGAAUUAUCAUAUCUACAGAAGGUAUGUAUACUGGCAUCUUCCUUCAUGGUAACAAGCUCUUUGACUCUGGUAAGGGAUAGGGGAAAAUAAUGUAACUACAGAUGAAGAAUUAUUCAAUACUUUACUCUUUGUUGCAUGUUUCUGUAAAUUUUUGGCCAUUUAAUUAUAUACAAACAUACAUAAAUCAUGAAUAGAUAAAUACUGCUUCAUGUUAAAAAGUUUAACAUAUGAACAAUAUAUGUUGCAUCUUUAAUUGAAAGCAUCUGGGAAGAUAUGCAAAAAAAUAUUCAAUACUCUGAUCCAUUAUAUGAAAAUACAAGCUGUGACCCUGCAAACACUAUUGCACAUGAGUAGACUUAACUGGGUAUCAGAGUAGCAGCCAUGUUAGUUUGUAUCCGCAAAAAGAAAAGGAGGACAUGUGGCACCUUAGAGACUAACAAAUUUAUUUGAGCAUAAGCUUUCGUGAGCUACAACUCAAUUCAUCGGAAUGCAUCCGAUGAAGUGAGCUGUAGCUCACAAAAGCUUAUGCUCAAAUAAAUUUGUUAGUCUCUAAGGUGCCACAAGUCCUCCUUUUCUUUUUAAUUGGGUAGUUAGUCCCAUAGAACUGAAUGGUACUAGUCACCUAAUUAAAGCAUGUGUUUGCAGAAUCAAGGCCACUGUUUGCAGUGAAACCUAUUUCCAAAGAAUUAUUUGGAAAUUGCCAAGUGUCAAUGCACUAAAUGUAAAUAUUUUUAACAAUAUAUGCCAGUGUGGUGAAAGACUGUUUUGUGACUAGCCAGACGGAGCAUCACAAUAUAACGGACUACAUAAAUAGUAAUUUUUAUUCUGAAAAUUAAGUAUUUAAAAUUAAAUUAAUAAAACCAUUAAAA